CCAACCUAAGCACGAACACAUUUGCGAAUUAGCUACGAUUACUCAUCUUUAUUUUGAGUUAUUGUCAAAAGUCCAUCUAUCAUUUCCUCAAAUAAUUCAUGGAUUUUAGCAAUAAAAUCCCGCGUGCCCUUUCUACAUCUGCACAGAAGAAGCUGAUGAAGCAGUUUUUGGUGCUCCAGAGACAAGGCCUCCAGAGUCAUGUCCCUCACCACACCACCGUGGAGGACAUGAGCAACUGGCUUAUUAAGAACAAGUCCCUGGAGCGAGCCCCAGUACUGCAAAACGAUGAUGAGGAAGUGAAUCGCUGGUUGGGGUUCAGAAAGGAAGCAGAGGAAGGGAAUGACAUAAGUCACCUGACCUGGGAGGUGAACACUCAACUCAGAAUGAGGGACGUUGAACAUGAGGCUUUUACUGAGUUGGCCACCGACCUUAGUCAGGCCAUUAACUCACUUGACUUUACUGCUGAUCUCUCCUACCUAAACCCUGAGGUCCGCGAUGAAGUUGUAAGAGCUCUAAAGAGCAUUUCCCAGAGCCUGGCCUUCCAGCCGUACUCCGAGCUGUGCUGUCCCUCUAAGGUGGUGGUGGACAUCGUGUCCAGGCUGCUCCAGGCCCUCUGGUCCUGCCAGAUGGAAAGCCCCUGUGACCGGUCCUCCAUGGCCCUGAGUGACAUGAGUGUCACCAUAGUGCUGGCAGUAGUGGAGAACCUCUCUAGAGUUCUGAAGGCUCCUCCUGUCGCUCAAGUCUACUACUCCCGUUCCACUGGUGUCAGGAUGGUCCACUCACUCAACCGUAAGAUCCAGUGCCUAAACAGCCCUGAGGACUUUAGGAGAGCUCUUUUCACCCAAAGUUCCACCUUGAUCAGCAC
ensembl:lncRNA